UACAGAGGGGGCAAGCGUUGUUCGGAAUUACUGGGCGUAAAGGGCGCGUAGGCGGCCUGCUAAGUCGAACGUGAAAUCCCCGAGCUCAACUCGGGAACUGCGUCCGAUACUGGCAGGCUUGAAUCCGGGAGAGGGAUGCGGAAUUCCAGGUGUAGCGGUGAAAUGCGUAGAUAUCUGGAGGAACACCGGUGGCGAAGGCAAUCCCCUGGACCUGUACUGACGCUCAUGCACGAAAGCGUGGGGAGCAAACAGG
rnacentral:rRNA from 1 species